GCCGAAGUGGCGGAACUGGUAGACGCGCUGCGUUCAGGGCGCAGUGGGCGUAUGCUCAUCGGGGUUCGAGUCCCCGCUUCGGCACCA
rnacentral:tRNA from 1 species